UACGAGGGGGGGCGAGCGUUUGUUCGGAAUUAUUGGGCGUAAAGGGUGCGUAGGCGGCCUGACAAGUCUGAUGUGAAAUCCCUGGGCUCAACCCAGGGCCUGCAUCGGAAACUGUCGGGCUUGAGUAUGGGAGAGGUGAGUGGAAUUUCCGGUGUAGCGGUGAAAUGCGUAGAUAUCGGAAGGAACACCUGUGGCGAAAGCGGCUCACUGGACCAUUACUGACGCUGAGGCGCGAAAGCUAGGGGAGCAAACAGG
rnacentral:rRNA from 1 species